rnacentral:rRNA from 1 species
GUCUACGGCCAUCCCACCCUGAACGUGCCCAAUCUCAUCUGAUCUCAGAAGCUAAGCAGGGUUGGGCCUGGUUAGUACUUGGAUGGGAGACCACCUAGGAAUACCAGGUACUGUAGGCA